rnacentral:rRNA from 1 species
UACGAAGGGGGCGAGCGUUGUUCGGAUUUACUGGGCGUAAAGGGCGCGCAGGCGGUCUUGAAAGUCAGGCGUGAAAGCCCCGGGCUUAACCUGGGAAUUGCGCUUGAUACUCUGAGACUGGAGUACGGGAGAGGAGAGUGGAAUUCCCAGCGUAGAGGUGAAAUUCGUAGAUAUUGGGAAGAACACCAGUGGCGAAGGCGGCUCACUGGACCAUAACUGACGCUGAUGCACGAAAGCUAGGGGAGCAAACAGG